AGUUCAGACCUCGGCUGACAAUACUGUGUCAUCCUCCUCGGGGCUGGCCCAGCCGAAAAGAGCUGCCAUGGCUUCAACAUGAACUGAGAGGCUCCAAAACAACAUGCUUCUGGUUCCACUCCAGUAAUCCGAUGGCUGCCGUGGGGGAACUGCCGGAGCACGGGCAUGGGAGCUGAAUCUAUUGGCCCUCGGAGUUGGUAAGAUUCUGGCCAUCUUCUAGGAAAGCUACAACAAUAAUUGAGCCUGCUUGCUGGAGGGAGGACUGCUUGCACGCCUUGUUGCUGCAAAUCCACUGGAGGUGCAGCAGUAGAGCCCGCAGCUAAAGAUUGCCUCUUUGAUUUCCGAAAUGCAAGGGAUGUCGGUUGCUUGGGUCUGUGGAGGAUAUUCAAGGCAUUGGGGAGCCAGUCACUGCAGGCCCGUUCAAUUCUAAUUUGAUGGUAAUAGAGUGCAUUGGGUACACUCCACUAAACUUCUGGUCAUGGUCGAAGUGGAUAGUUACUAAUGGGUUCGAUGAUCAUACUGACGCCGCCAUCACUAUUAAGGAUGUGAAGUUCUUUCUAAAGGAGCUGAAAACGAAAUGACACUGAUAUCAAUAUGUAGGCCCACCGAGCGGAGGCAUUUCGUCAUAAAUUUGUGACUAAAAUCAUUACUCUUGUUAAGAGUUCGAUGUGUUGAAUAUCAACUGUUCUUCUCCUUUUGCAUGCCAUGUAUAUUAAACUAAAUACAAGAGUUGCAUGGCCAUGCAUGAGUUCAAUGCAUUGCUACAUGUAAUCGGAUAUCUAGCGCAGGUUGCCACAAUUUUGGAAGAAUAGCUUCGCAAAUCUCGGCCAGAAUCGGAAGAGGCAGCAACGCUCUGGCAUCAGGUUGGGUCAAGGUUCCCUCUGGAUAUGCUUAGUAACGGGUCAUGAUCCGGACGGACGCUCCUGCUCUUCGCGGUCAAUUUUCUAUAGAAAUUGUUCAUGUUGCAACAUCCUUUUCUAUCAAGAUUCAACUGCUCUCUGGCUAGAUUCGUGUGGGCCUGUCUCAGAGAGGUGUUUGGAGACGAUAUGCCCAGUUUUUGGGAAGAGCUGCUUUGGGGGCAAGCUCACGGGCAUGCUUAAAACUAACUUGAGGCUGUGCCUCUUCCUUUUUGCAGGGAUUGCUUGGUCAAUCUUGAGAACAUGAAAUAAGAUGUCAAUUGAAAGACAUUCUCUGAAAACCCUAUUGAUGUCAUAUAGUCUGGUGUAUCUUUUGUGCAGAAAUGGUGGACAUCCUUUUCUAUAAACAUAAGCAGCCCUUUUGGCCUUCAGCG